rnacentral:rRNA from 1 species
GUGUCAGCCGCCGCGGUAAUACGAAGGGGGCUAGCGUUGCUCGGAAUCACUGGGCGUAAAGGGUGCGUAGGCGGGUCUUUAAGUCAGGGGUGAAAUCCUGGAGCUCAACUCCAGAACUGCCUUUGAUACUGAAGAUCUUGAGUUCGGGAGAGGUGAGUGGAACUGCGAGUGUAGAGGUGAAAUUCGUAGAUAUUCGCAAGAACACCAGUGGCGAAGACGGCUCACUGGCCCGAUACUGACGCUGAGGCACGAAAGCGUGGGGAGCAAAUAGGAUUAGAAACCCUAGUAGUCC